UGGGGGAUAUUGCACAAUGGGCGAAAGCCUGAUGCAGCGACGCCGCGUGGGGGAUGAAGGCCUUCGGGUUGUAAACUUCUUUUGCUCUGAACAAGGCAUGCUAAUGGGUGUGUUGAGUGUAGGGGUUGAUUAGCGCCGGCUAACUACGUGCCAGCAGCCGCGGUAAUACGUAGGGCGCGAGCGUUGUCCGGAAUUAUUGGGCGUAAAGGGCUUGUAGGUGGCUGGUUGCGUCAGUCGUGAAAGCUCAUGGCUUAACUGUGGGUUUGCGGUGGGUACGGGCUGGCUUGAGUGCAGUAGGGGAGGCUGGAAUUCCUGGUGUAGCGGUGGAAUGCGCAGAUAUCAGGAGGAAUACCGGUGGCGAAGGCGGGUCUCUGGGCUGUUACUGACACUGAGGAGCGAAAGCAUGGGGAGCGAACAGG
rnacentral:rRNA from 1 species